UGCAGAAUAUUGUCUCCGACAUGAUAAAUUAAAAACAGUGAAAUGUUUCUAAUCAUGAUUAAUCUCACUCUCUGAAAUUUCCUAAAACUUGCAAUUAUUGAAAAAAAAUCAUUUUAAAACCCUGUGUUACUUAAGUCAAUGUGGAAUAUGAGAUGGUAUAGUAUGAGUUUCUUAUUCUUGAUAUCAUUGUUGCUUGGAGAAUUUAUUUGAAAAUUCUAGCUACCAUCCUCAGUGUUUUAUAUGCCUGAUAAUACUAAAAAUAUUAAUUAUGAUUAUAAAGGCUAUCUACUCUGUAUUGAGUUUGUUCAAAAUGAGUUAGACCCUUGUUGAGAGAUUUAUCAUACUCCUAAGAUCAAGACAUCUAUUCAGAAAGAUUCACUCUUCCGAAGUGUUAUUGCAUUAGAGGCAUGGGCUAUGCAAAAAUAAAGAUAUUUCGAGGAAACAAAAAGGAGCAAGUGCUCGAUAACCUCGCAUAAAAAAUGGACAAGUGUCCGGCAGUAGAAUUAGGGGUACCUCGGUAUCCACUUAAAAAAAGAGAAGAAAAAGAAAAUGAUAGCCCAUGGUCCCUCUAAUAAGCAAUAUGCCAACAAGAGAUGACAAGUUUUUAAUUUCCAAAGUCUUUGAUCUAAGAGUAUGACAUUCCUCUCCUCGGAUCCCGUUUUGAUCAAGCAAUAAAUGCAAAGUAAGUAUGCUUAAGAAUUUUUGCAAGUUAAAACAACCUCAGUGAGAUAUAUAAAAGAUAAUGAGUGAUCUGAGAGAACCUAUGAGGAUAAAAGGUAUGCUAACUUUCUUUUCAAAAAUAUACAAAAACUCCAAGUGAUAGGGUUGAAAGGAAGAAAGGACUUCUACUCUUAACCAUAUACUUCCCUGACUAUAGUACACAAUGGAUUUUAACACC
rnacentral:lncRNA from 1 species